rnacentral:rRNA from 1 species
UCGAGCGGACAGAAGGGAGCUUGCUCCCGGAUGUUAGCGGCGGACGGGUGAGUAACACGUGGGUAACCUGCCUGUAAGACUGGGAUAACUCCGGGAAACCGGAGCUAAUACCGGAUAGUUCCUUGAACCGCAUGGUUCAAGGAUGAAAGACGGUUUCGGCUGUCACUUACAGAUGGACCCGCGGCGCAUUAGCUAGUUGGUGAGGUAACGGCUCACCAAGGCGACGAUGCGUAGCCGACCUGAGAGGGUGAUCGGCCACACUGGGACUGAGACACGGCCCAGACUCCUACGGGAGGCAGCAGUAGGGAAUCUUCCGCAAUGGACGAAAGUCUGACGGAGCAACGCCGCGUGAGUGAUGAAGGUUUUCGGAUCGUAAAGCUCUGUUGUUAGGGAAGAACAAGUGCAAGAGUAACUGCUUGCACCUUGACGGUACCUAACCAGAAAGCCACGGCUAACUACGUGCCAGCAGCCGCGGUAAUACGUAGGUGGCAAGCGUUGUCCGGAAUUAUUGGGCGUAAAGGGCUCGCAGGCGGUUUCUUAAGUCUGAUGUGAAAGCCCCCGGCUCAACCGGGGAGGGUCAUUGGAAACUGGGAAACUUGAGUGCAGAAGAGGAGAGUGGAAUUCCACGUGUAGCGGUGAAAUGCGUAGAGAUGUGGAGGAACACCAGUGGCGAAGGCGACUCUCUGGUCUGUAACUGACGCUGAGGAGCGAAAGCGUGGGGAGCGAACAGGAUUAGAUACCCUGGUAGUCCACGCCGUAAACGAUGAGUGCUAAGUGUUAGGGGGUUUCCGCCCCUUAGUGCUGCAGCUAACGCAUUAAGCACUCCGCCUGGGGAGUACGGUCGCAAGACUGAAACUCAAAGGAAUUGACGGGGGCCCGCACAAGCGGUGGAGCAUGUGGUUUAAUUUGAAGCAACGCGAAGAACCUUACCAGGUCUUGACAUCCUCUGACAACCCUAGAGAUAGGGCUUUCCCUUCGGGGACAGAGUGACAGGUGGUGCAUGGUUGUCGUCAGCUCGUGUCGUGAGAUGUUGGGUUAAGUCCCGCAACGAGCGCAACCCUUGAUUUUAGUUGCCAGCAUUCAGUUGGGCACUCUAAGGUGACUGCCGGUGACAAACCGGAGGAAGGUGGGGAUGACGUCAAAUCAUCAUGCCCCUUAUGACCUGGGCUACACACGUGCUACAAUGGACAGAACAAAGGGCUGCGAGACCGCAAGGUUUAGCCAAUCCCACAAAUCUGUUCUCAGUUCGGAUCGCAGUCUGCAACUCGACUGCGUGAAGCUGGAAUCGCUAGUAAUCGCGGAUCAGCAUGCCGCGGUGAAUACGUUCCCGGGCCUUGUACACACCGCCCGUCACACCACGAGAGUUUGCAACACCCGAAGUCGGUGAGGUAACCUUUAUGGAGCCAGCCGCCGAAGGUGGGGCAGA